AUUGAACGCUGGCGGAAUGCUUUACACAUGCAAGUCGAACGGUAGAGGGGGCAACCCCUCGAGAGUGGCGAACGGGUGAGUAAUAUAUCGGAACGUGCCCAGUCGUGGGGGACAACGUAGCGAAAGUUACGCUAAUACCGCAUACGAUCUAAGGACGAAAGCGGGGGAUCGCAAGACCUCGCGCGAUUGGAGCGGCCGAUAUCAGAUUAGGUAGUUGGUGGGGUAAAGGCUCACCAAGCCAACGAUCUGUAGCUGGUCUGAGAGGACGACCAGCCACACUGGAACUGAGACACGGUCCAGACUCCUACGGGAGGCAGCAGUGGGGAAUUUUGGACAAUGGACGCAAGUCUGAUCCAGCCAUUCUGCGUGCAGGAUGAAGGCCCUCGGGUUGUAAACUGCUUUUGUACGGAACGAAAAGGUCUCUCUUAAUACGGGGGACUCAUGACGGUACCGUAAGAAUAAGCACCGGCUAACUACGUGCCAGCCGCCGCAGUAA
rnacentral:rRNA from 1 species